UUACGGCUACAUCAAGUUGAAACGCCAGUUCUCAUACGAUCACCAAAGUUAAGCAAUGUCUAUCCUGGUCAGUACCUAGAUGGGUGACCGCUUAGGAAUAGCAGGUGCGGUAAG